rnacentral:rRNA from 1 species
UGAGGAAGUAAAAGUCGUAACAAGGUUUCCGUAGGUGAACCUGCGGAAGGAUCAUUACCUAGAGUUUGUGGACUUCGGUCUGCUACCUCUUACCCAUGUCUUUUGAGUACCUUCGUUUCCUCGGCGGGUCCGCCCGCCGGUUGGACAACAUUCAAACCCUUUGCAGUUGCAAUCAGCGUCUGAAAAAACUUAAUAGUUACAACUUUCAACAACGGAUCUCUUGGUUCUGGCAUCGAUGAAGAACGCAGCGAAAUGCGAUAAGUAGUGUGAAUUGCAGAAUUCAGUGAAUCAUCGAAUCUUUGAACGCACAUUGCGCCCCUUGGUAUUCCAUGGGGCAUGCCUGUUCGAGCGUCAUUUGUACCUUCAAGCUCUGCUUGGUGUUGGGUGUUUUGUCUCGCCUCCGCGCGCAGACUCGCCUUAAAACAAUUGGCAGCCGGCGUAUUGAUUUCGGAGCGCAGUACAUCUCGCGCUUUGCACUCAUAACGACGACGUCCAAAAGUACAUUUUUACACUCUUGACCUCGGAUCAGGUAGGGAUACCCGCUGAACUUAAGCAUAUCAUA